rnacentral:misc_RNA from 1 species
AAGAAAUGGCUGCUUAUGAACAGCAUAAGAACAAAGAAACUACAACAAAUCCAAACUUGCACAGGGGUUUGGCCCCAAGUAUGAUCAACUUUGGUGCACGGAAUUGAUCAUGGUUAUCAUGUGACUUCACAAGCUUAUACUGGAAGCAACAUUCUCCCUAAUGCAUCCUUUAUUGAGUCCACGGUACAAAUAUUGAAUAAUGUUAAGACAAGUAACCCCAUAUUUCAGAUGUAUU